AGGACUAACGCUGGCGGCGUGCCUAACACAUGCAAGUCGAACGAAGUAGCAAUACUUAGUGGCAGACGGGUGAGUAACACGUAGUCAACCUGCCCUUCAAUGGGGGAUAACUAGCCGAAAGGUUAGCUAAUACCGCAUACGAUCUCUGAGUGGCAUCACUCGGCGAUGAAAGGAGUAAUCCGUUGAAGGAGGGGACUGCGUCCCAUUAGUUAGUUGGUGGGGUAAUGGCCUACCAAGACUCCGAUGGGUAGCUGGCUUGAGAGAGCGACCAGCCACACUGGAACUGAGACACGGUCCAGACUCCUACGGGAGGCAGCAGUGAGGAAUUUUCCGCAAUGGGGGAAACCCUGACGGAGCGACGCCGCGUGUGGGAAGAAGGCCUUCGGGUCGUAAACCACUGUCGAGGGGGACGAUAUUGACGGUACCCCUGGAGGAAGCCCCGGCUAACGUACGUGCCAGCAGCCGC
rnacentral:rRNA from 1 species